GACGAACGCUGGCGGCGCGCUUAACACAUGCAAGUCGAACGGUAAGGCCCUUCGGGGUACACGAGUGGCGAACGGGUGAGUAACACGUGGGUGAUCUGCCCUGCACUUCGGGAUAAGCCUGGGAAACUGGGUCUAAUACCGGAUAGGACCACUGCCUGCAUGGGUGGUGGUGGAAAGCUUUUGCGGUGUGGGAUGGGCCGGCGGCCUAUCACGUUGUUGGUGGGGUGAUGGCCUAACAAGGCGGCGACGGGUAGCCGGCCUGAGCGGGUGACCGACCACACUGGGACUGGGAUACGGCCCAGACUCCUACGGGAGGGAGCAGUGGGGAAUAUUGCACAAUGGGCGCAAGCCUGAUGCAGCGACGCCGCGUGAGGGAUGACGGCCUUCGGGUUGUAAACCUCUUUCAGCACCGACGAAGCGCAAGUGACGGUAGGUGCAGAAGAAGGACCGGCCAACUACGUGCCAGCCGCCGCCGUAA
rnacentral:rRNA from 1 species